rnacentral:rRNA from 2 species
GGUUGAAGGUUGGGUAACACUAACUGGAGGACCGAACCGACUAAUGUUGAAAAAUUAGCGGAUGACCUGUGGCUGGGGGUGAAAGGCCAAUCAAACCGGGAGAUAGCUGGUUCUCCCCGAAAGCUAUUUAGGUAGCGCCUCGUGAAUUCAUCUCCGGGGGUAGAGCACUGUUUCGGCUAGGGGGCCAUCCCGGCUUACCAACCCGAUGCAAACUGCGAAUACCGGAGAAUGUUAUCACGGGAGACACACGGCGGGUGCUAACGUCCGUCGUGAAGAGGGAAACAACCCAGACCGCCAGCUAAGGUCCCAAAGUCAUGGUUAAGUGGGAAACGAUGUGGGAAGGCCCAGACAGCCAGGAUGUUGGCUUAGAAGCAGCCAUCAUUUAAAGAAAGCGUAAUAGCUCACUGGUCGAGUCGGCCUGCGCGGAAGAUGUAACGGGGCUAAACCAUGCACCGAAGCUGCGGCAGCGAACGUAUCACCCAAGACAACUUUACGGAGUUGACGAUUGACGGAGCGAAGCGACGUCAAAGCGUUCAUUAAAGUCGAGUUGGCUUAGGGAUACGUUCGUUGGGUAGGGGAGCGUUCUGUAAGCCUGUGAAGGUGUGUCGUGAGGCAUGCUGGAGGUAUCAGAAGUGCGAAUGCUGACAUAAGUAACGAUAAAGCGGGUGAAAAGCCCGCUCGCCGGAAGACCAAGGGUUCCUGUCCAACGUUAAUCGGGGCAGGGUGAGUCGACCCCUAAGGCGAGGCCGAAAGGCGUAGUCGAUGGGAAACGGGUUAAUAUUCCCGUACUUGGUGUUACUGCGAAGGGGGGACGGAGAAGGCUAUGUUGGCCGGGCGACGGUUGUCCCGGUUUAAGCGUGUAGGUGUGUGUUCCAGGUAAAUCCGGUUCACUUUAACACUGAGGCGUGACGACGAGGCACUACGGUGCUGAAGCAACAAAUGCCCUGCUUCCAGGAAAAGCCUCUAAGCAUCAGGUAACAUCAAAUCGUACCCCAAACCGACACAGGUGGUCAGGUAGAGAAUACCAAGGCGCUUGAGAGAACUCGGGUGAAGGAACUAGGCAAAAUGGUGCCGUAACUUCGGGAGAAGGCACGCUGACACGUAGGUGAAGUGAUUUACUCAUGGAGCUGAAGUCAGUCGAAGAUACCAGCUGGCUGCAACUGUUUAUUAAAAACACAGCACUGUGCAAACACGAAAGUGGACGUAUACGGUGUGACGCCUGCCCGGUGCCGGAAGGUUAAUUGAUGGGGUCAGCGCAAGCGAAGCUCCUGAUCGAAGCCCCGGUAAACGGCGGCCGUAACUAUAACGGUCCUAAGGUAGCGAAAUUCCUUGUCGGGUAAGUUCCGACCUGCACGAAUGGCGUAAUGAUGGCCAGGCUGUCUCCACCCGAGACUCAGUGAAAUUGAACUCGCUGUGAAGAUGCAGUGUACCCGCGGCAAGACGGAAAGACCCCGUGAACCUUUACUAUAGCUUGACACUGAACAUUGAGCCUUGAUGUGUAGGAUAGGUGGGAGGCUUUGAAGUGUGGACGCCAGUCUGCAUGGAGCCGACCUUGAAAUACCACCCUUUAAUGUUUGAUGUUCUAACGUGGACCCGUUA